AACGAACGCUGGCGGCAUGCCUAACACAUGCAAGUCGAACGAGACCUUCGGGUCUAGUGGCGCACGGGUGCGUAACGCGUGGGAACCUGCCCUUAGGUUCGGAAUAACUCCCCGAAAGGGGUGCUAAUACCGGAUAAUGUCUUCGGACCAAAGAUUUAUCGCCUUUGGAUGGGCCCGCGUUGGAUUAGCUGGUUGGUAGGGUAAAAGCCUACCAAGGCGACGAUCCAUAGCUGGUCUGAGAGGAUGAUCAGCCACACUGGGACUGAGACACGGCCCAGACUCCUACGGGAGGCAGCAGUGGGGAAUAUUGGACAAUGGGCGAAAGCCUGAUCCAGCAAUGCCGCGUGAGUGAUGAAGGCCUUAGGGUUGUAAAGCUCUUUUACCCGGGAUGAUAAUGACAGUACCGGGAGAAUAAGCACCGGCUAACUCCGUG
rnacentral:rRNA from 1 species